UCCGGGUUUACAGCGGAAAUUAUAAACAAUCUAUCUCCCUUCUUCUCCUCGCGUCAGGCUGUGUAUAGCUUGUAAAUAUUGUUCAAAGGACAUAAUUUGCAAAGACAGGUGGAGUGAGGAGCUCUGUCUUUCCAAUGCUCAGUGUUGAUUACUGACUUGGAAGAUUAGGAGCCUCCUGAAAGCUUCUGGAGCCCACUGCCUCGUUGAGGUCCUGCAGUCUGCGGUCUGGAGGUGAGGAGCAGAGAAGAGUGUCUGAGGAGAUCUGGCUUCCACAACGGAAGAGUGAGAGGCUCUCAAGGAUCUCAUCAUGCUUCCCGUUUUGGGCAUCCUCACCCCGCAUAAAAAGGUGCUACAUCCACUAAGUGUUAAAUAAUAAAGGAAGUGGCUAUUCAAAGACAAUUUUGCUGGAGCAUUUAAAUAGGCUCUAACUAUUCGGUGACAAUUAUUGGAGGAUAAAAACAAGUUAGAGGUAAAUUAUUAUAUUUUCUAAUUAAAAAAUAAUAGAAUGCAAGCUAUUAUCUCAUAAAUUUACACGUAUAUUUAUUUUCAGGGGUUACAAUACUUACCGAAAAUAUUCUUAAAAGAAUAUCUUACUUAGCUAUAGUUGCUUAUAUAAACACACAGUGCUAACUAAUGUGAUAUUAAAUAUCUUAUGCUCCUUCUGAAAAUUUUAUUAAUCCUUAAAUAAACAAAAAAUGAAAUGACAUUUAGUCUCGUUAGAUGAACAAUACGUUAAAAAAAGGUGAAUGUAUAAUUAUACAUUAAAAAUUAAUUUCAUAUUAGAUGAUUUCUAUAAAUGAUACUCAACACACAAUAGGUUAAUCUAAAGAUAAUAUGUAAGAAACAAUUACAGAAAAAUAACAAUAUGUCUCAAAAAACAGCAAUCAUAGUUUUAAUUUGUAAUUGCAUUCUUAUCCCUGCAAAUAAUUAAUAGCAUUAAAAAUGUGUUGUAUCAUUUCCAAAUAAAUAUAAAAAUAAAAACAUUUAUCUUCUAUAUGUGUAUAA